CCGCCGCCGCCGCCGCGGGCCCCGGGCCCCGCCGUCGCCGCCGCGCCUGCCGCCUCCUUCCCCCGUCGCCUCGCCCUCUUCCCCCCGCCGCCGCCGCCGCCGCCGCCGCCGCGAACCAACAGCCGCCACACUCAACAGCCGGCCGCGUCUACGACAGCAGCACGGGCAGAAGCCACCCAGGCCGCCGAGGACCCCGCGCUAUAUAAGGCAAGGCCCCGCCGCGGGCUGCCCGCGGAGAACGCCUGACUGACCCACGCUCCGCCGGGGCCGCGGGCCGCCGCCAGGGGGCGCCGUGGCCGCCCGAGCACACGCGCCACCCAGACGCCCGCGGGGCGCGCCGCCGACUUCGGGAAACGGGGAGCGGGCCUCGGCUCUCCGCGUGUGCGGCGCCCUAGCGGAACCCGGCCCCGGUGCGGUCUCAAGGCUCGCACGGGGCGAGCGACAGGUGCGCGCGCACCUGCUGGGCGCGUCCGCGCUUUUCAAUCCCAGAGCGCGCGCCGCCGCCGGGUGAUUUAAACUUUCCCUGCGCCAGGCUCCGCUUCCCUCCCUUGAAGCCCAGGGCUACCUUUCUGUCUGCAUCGGAGCCCCACCGCACUCUGCGACAUAGGUCCCCAAGACAAUACAGCAAGGAGCUCCUUGCCAAAUGCCAGUGCCUCAAUACUGAACAUAGCCUAUAAAAAGUACCAGCAAGUGCCUUUGUCUUCAAAGAAAUGCUUUUCUUUCCAUCGUUUAAUCUAUGUUCUCCUAUGAGGAAUCCCAAGAAUAGGGUAAAAGGUACAAUUUAAAUAAACAGAGA
rnacentral:lncRNA from 1 species